UACGGAGGGUGCAAGCGUUAUCCGGAAUCAUUGGGUUUAAAGGGUCCGCAGGCGGUCUUAUAAGUCAGUGGUGAAAGCCUACAGCUCAACUGUAGAACUGCCAUUGAUACUGUAAGACUUGAAUUCGAUCGAAGUGGGCGGAAUAUGACAUGUAGCGGUGAAAUGCUUAGAUAUGUCAUAGAACACCGAUAGCGAAGGCAGCUCACUAGGUCUGGAUUGACGCUCGAGGGACGAAAGCGUGGGGAGCAAACAGG
rnacentral:rRNA from 1 species